rnacentral:lncRNA from 1 species
UCUGCAGUGCAACGCCGUUUCAUUCUCUGCUGAUAACAAAUUAUUGGCCUCUGCAUCUGAAGAUACAACAGUGGCUCUCUGGGAACUUUAUCCUCCUAGAACAUGACAUUGUAUCGUUGUUAAUCCCCGUGGAUUGUUUGUAAUGAAGGGGUUAAUGUCUGAAGUUUUACAGUGGGGAGAAGUUAUCCCCAGAUGAGCAUAUGGAGUUUGCUGGAAGAUAUUACUGAUCAUCAGAAAGAGAGGAGGACUUUAAGCUAUUUUUGGGAAAUACACUUUGUUCCGGCCUUUCCCCAGACCCUGCAUAUAGCGAGAGCUUAGUGCAUUGAACUAUCUCGCUUUUCAAGUUGUUAGAAAGAAACAUAGUUGUGAAAGUACUAAAAAAGAACUCUACUUGUAACCCUUAAACAAGAAGAAUUGUUAUAUCAAGCUCUUCAUUUACAUUUUGCUGCCAUUUUUUGAGUUAAUACCUUAAAAUUCUCCUAAACUAUCAAGGCUUUUAUUAAGUUUAAUAUUUAAAUUAUGGAGUAUUGUUAUUAUUCAUGAACUAUUAACAUUUUCCAUCUAAAAACUCUUGUAAUGCAAUGUUCCAUAAAUUACAACACCUUAUUAAAAACGAAUAAUUUAAGAGCAAUUUUGAUCAUAUUCUAAAUUUUAAUUUACAAAUUUAAAAAAACUAAAACUGGUGAAAAUUUGUGUUAUCUACAAAAAUUAUCUUUGUAUAAUCUAUAGUUUACAUAGUUGAGUCACGGAAGCAUCCAUUAGUACUCGUAUUAUUAGAGUAGACUUUCUACGUCACUCCGUCCGAGUUUUGGACCAAAAAAAAAAAAUGAAAAAAAGGAACAUCCUUUUAGAUAUUGUGAGAGGGCUACCCAUGAAGAACUGAAAAUCAAGAAUUCAAAUUUCCAUUAACAAUGAACAUUUGUUGGAUUUCUCCUUCCUAUUUCCCACAAAUUAAAGCUUCAAUUUUGGAACCCAGAACCAAAAUUCAACCAAUUAGCUCAAAAUCAGAUUUCCCAACUGAAAAAAUUGAAUCUUUUUUGCCCUUUAAUGUGAAAUCCAUCACUAGUACUUCAAACCCUUUUGUGGGUGGGGUGGGGGGAGGGGGAGGGGCGGAAGCCAAACCCCUCUGCGGGAUUAUAUUGUUAAAAUUAUUUUUUAUGUAUAUAUAGUAGAUACUGAAUGACCUUUGAUUUUUUCGUGUAUUUACUUUUUCCGUGUGUUUUGUGGUAUAAUUUAGCCAUUUCAUGUUCUUAACUUGGUGGCUGUAGUCUUUGUUGAUUGUGGUUAGCUUAAUAGUUUAGCUUGAGCCUCACAUUUUAAUGCCAAAUUGUUAGAUUUUGAAGCCAUUUGGCUUAAUGUUGAGUUACAACUUAGAAGAUUAUUCCAUUCCCCUUUGGGAUAUUAACACGCGGAAUUCUUGCAAAUUGGUGGAGCACAGUGUAGAUCAUACUUAGGUCCGUAGGGGCUCAGUUUUUUUCUUUGAUACAUUGCAUAAUCUUGAAAUACUUGAGCAAGUAAUAGAACAGAUGAUUGAAAUGAGUAGUGAUGUAGUGAGAAAAGACGGAGUAAUUGAUCUUAAAAUACUUAACUUUUUGGGAGAAAUCAUGAUUUGCAUUGUGCUUUUCAUGUUUCCAAUUGAAUGUCUAUAAUGGACUAUAUAUCAACGGGAGAAAUCAGAAGACGCGGACAAUAUUGAAUCUUGAAGGGACAACUUCAUAUGUGUACAUUUGGAAUGGCCUAAGCUCUGUUGUUUUAGUUUAAGAAGCUCAUUUUCAUUUUCAUCUUUUAUGAUCUAUAAAUGUGGUGAUUUUCUGCUGAGUAUUUUCUUCCGAGCUAUGUCCUUUCUUAUGCACUCCCUUGUGAACUGUUGGUUUGUUAUUUUUUGCACUUGUUCAUAUUCUUUACUCAUUCUUCCUUGAGGUUGGUCGUAGAGGGUUUGAGGAGGGGUAAAGGUAGGCCUAAGAUGUAUGUAGGCAAGACAUAGCGCAGCUUCAACUCACCGAGGAUAUGAUCUUUGAUAGGAGGGUGUGGAGAUCGAGCAUUAUGAUAGAAGGUUAGUAGGUAGUUGAGUGCUUUGCUUUCCCGUUCCCGGAGUAUUAGUAUUAGUCUCCAUUAUUGUAUUUUCUUCUUAUUGUUCCUACUUGCUGCUACUGUCGUUUUUUUCAUCUGUUUUGAGCCAAGGGUCUAUCGAAACCAACCUAUCUAGCUUUUCAAGGUAGGGAUAGGUCGGCGUACACAUGACCCUCCCUAGACCCCACUUUUGGGAUUAUACAAUUCUUUUUGGUUUGUCAUUUGACGAUUUGAUCUUUGAUGAGGUAUGCAAUUCCCUUUUUCUUUCUGUUGACUGUUGUUUUCCCUUAAACAAUUGUCAAACUGACUUCAUACCAUUUUCAUGUCCUCUCUCACAAUAUGUUUCUGCAGUGCAACGCUGUUUCAUUCUCUGCUGAUAGCAGAUUAUUGGCCUCUGCAUCUGAAGAUACAACAGUGGCUCUCUGGGAACUUUAUCCUCCUAAAACAUGACGUUGUAUCGUUGUUAAUCCUCUUCUAAGUUAGUUCUUUAGACAACAAUGAACCUCUAUACGAACAUUGGUUUGUAGGUUAUGGUUUUUACCUGUCUUAAUCCUCGCGGAUUGUCUGUAAUGAAGGGGUUAAUGUCUGAAGUUUUGCAGCGCGGAGAAGUAAUCCCCAGAUGAGCAUAUGGAGUUUGCUGGAAGAUAUUACUGAUCAUCAGAAAGAGAAGAGGACUUUAAGCUAUUUUUGGGAAAUACACUUUGUUCCGGCCUUCCCCAAACCUUGCAUAUAGUGAGAGCUUAGUGCAUUGAACUAUCUCGUCUUUUGAGUUGUUAGAAAGAAACAUAGUUGUGAAAGUACUAAAAAAGAACUCUACUUGUAACCCUUAAACAAGAAGAAUUGUUAUAUCAAGCUCUUCAUUUACAUUUUGCUGCCAUUUUUUGAGUUAAUACCUUAAAAUUCUCCUAAACUAUCAAGGC